UACGUAGGGUGCGAGCGUUAAUCGGAAUUACUGGGCGUAAAGCGUGCGUAGGCGGUUUCAUAAGCUUGAUGUGAAAGCCCCGGGCUCAACCUGGGAAUGGCAUUGAGGACUGUGGAGCUAGAGUGCGGCAGAGGGAGGUGGAAUUCCGACGUGUAGCAGUGAAAUGCGUAGAGAUGUGGAGGAACACCGAUGGCGAAGGCAGCCUCCUGGGCCGACACUGACGCUGAGGGCACGAA
rnacentral:rRNA from 1 species